rnacentral:rRNA from 1 species
UACGAAGGGUGCAAGCGUUACUCGGAAUUACUGGGCGUAAAAGGUGCGUAGGUGGUUCUUUAAGUCUGCUGUGAAAGCCCCGGGCUCAACCUGGGAAUGGCAGUGGAUACUGGAGAGCUAGAGUGCGGUAGAGGGUAGUGGAAUUCCCGGUGUAGCAGUGAAAUGCGUAGAGAUCGGGAGGAACACCAGUGGCGAAGGCGGCUACCUGGACCAGCACUGACACUGAAGCACGAAAGCGUGGGGAGCAAACAGG